rnacentral:rRNA from 1 species
UACAGGGGGGGCAAGCGUUGUUCGGAAUUACUGGGCGUAAAGGGCUCGUAGGUGGCCAACUAAGUCAGACGUGAAAUCCCUCAGCUUAACUGGGGAACUGCGUCUGAUACUGGAUGGCUUGGAUUCGGGAGAGGAAUGCGGAAUUCCAGGUGUAGCGGUGAAAUGCGUAGAUAUCUGGAGGAACACCGGUGGCGAAGGCGGCAUUCUGGACCGAUAUUGACGCUGAGGAGCGAAAGCCAGGGGAGCAAACAGG